rnacentral:rRNA from 1 species
GAGUUUGAUCCUGGCUCAGGACGAACGCUGGCGGCACGCCUAACACACGCAAGUCGAACGGAGAUAUUUUGGUUUACUGAGAUAUCUUAGUGGCGGACGGGUGAGUAACACGUGAGCAACCUGCCUCUGAGAGAGGGAUAGCUUCUGGAAACGGAUGGUAAUACCUCAUAACAUAACGAAGCCGCAUGACUUUGUUAUCAAAGAUUUAUCACUCAGAGAUGGGCUCGCGUCUGAUUAGAUAGUUGGUGAGGUAACGGCCCACCAAGUCGACGAUCAGUAGCCGGACUGAGAGGUUGAACGGCCACAUUGGGACUGAGACACGGCCCAGACUCCUACGGGAGGCAGCAGUGGGGAAUAUUGCACAAUGGGGGAAACCCUGAUGCAGCGAUGCCGCGUGGAGGAAGAAGGUUUUCGGAUUGUAAACUCCUGUCUUAAAGGACGAUAAUGACGGUACUUUAGGAGGAAGCUCCGGCUAACUACGUGCCAGCAGCCGCGGUAAUACGUAGGGAGCGAGCGUUGUCCGGAAUUACUGGGUGUAAAGGGAGCGUAGGCGGGAUGGCAAGUCAGAUGUGAAAACUAUGGGCUCAACCCAUAGACUGCAUUUGAAACUGUUGUUCUUGAGUGAAGUAGAGGUAAGCGGAAUUCCUGGUGUAGCGGUGAAAUGCGUAGAUAUCAGGAGGAACAUCGGUGGCGAAAGCGGCUUACUGGGCUUUUACUGACGCUGAGGCUCGAAAGCGUGGGGGAGCAAACAGGAUUAGAUACCCUGGUAGUCCACGCUGUAAACGAUGAUUACUAGGUGUGGGGGGACUGACCCCUUCCGUGCCGCAGUUAACACGAUAGUAAUCCACCUGGGGAGUACGGCCGCMAGGUUGAAACUCAAAGGAAUUGACGGGGGCCCGCACAGCAGUGAGUAUGUGGUUWAAUUCGAAGCACGCGAGACCUACCAGUCYUUGAMUCGUAUGCAWACCAUAGARAUAUGGGAAAUCCCUUCGGCAMUAUAGMAUGUGKGCWUGUAAGGCGAUUCRCMACGGCGACGUACWUGGAWCURAGCYG